AAUAAGCACUGCUAAUACUUAUAACCCACGGUUAAACUCCGUGGCUCUCUCG
rnacentral:tRNA from 1 species